GCAUUUCUUGUGCAUCGCGCGUUUGCACACGAACCACGCCGCAGGGUCUUCUUUAGCAACACGCACAGGCUCUGCAAGGGCAGGGCAACUGAUGCGGGGAAAGGCCCUUUGGACAUGAAAAGUUGGAAACCGGCUGGAGCGUGGGACGCCGCUGCGACGUCUCGUGAGCGAGCCAAGGUAGCGCUGCCUUCUGGAGGGGGGCGGGAUAAGGACAACUCGCAGGCCGCGAGAGAAGGUGAUUCCGAGACUACUGGUUCGAGUCGCGGCUUGCGGCAGGACGGCGUGCGCUCCUCCGCUCCAGGGCGACGGGCGCUCAGGAAAUCGCGUCAGGGCCGGCAUCCGCCUGCUCUUGUUGGUGCAAUGCAAGCAAGCAAGCCCUCUCGCCGGCUGGCCCUGCCUCCUUAGCCGUCUUCUCCGCACGAGGGGCCGGGGACAGCUCAUGUUAUUGAAAUAAAUUGUGUGUCAUGGAUGAUGCUGCUUUGUCACUUGGAGCGAUAGAUGUUUCUUAUUCGUCAUCAUCAGCAGAAUGCACUGUAUCUAGAUGUAAACACUCCAGUGAAGAAUGGGGCGAAUGCAAUUCUAGGCCUACUGUUUUUCGAUCAGCUACUUUGAAAUGGAAGGAAACUCUGCUGGGCAGGAACAGACCAUUUGUGGGACGUUGUUGCUAUGUAUGCACUCCCCAAAGCCGG